AUUGAACGCUGGCGGCAUGCUUUACACAUGCAAGUCGGACGAGUGGCGGACGGGUGAGUAACGCAUCGGAACGUGCCGAGUGGUGGGGGAUAACUAUCGGAAAGGAUAGCUAAUACCGCAUAUUAUUCGAGCGGCCGAUGUGUGAUUAGCUGGUUGGUGGGGUAAAGGCUCACCAAGGCGACGAUCAGUAGCGGGUCUGAGAGGAUGAUCCGCCACACUGGGACUGAGACACGGCCAAGACUCCUACGGGAGGCAGCAGUGGGGAAUUUUGGACAAUGGGCGCAAGCCUGAUCCAGCCAUGCCGCGUGUCUGAAGAAGGCCUUCGGGUUGUAAAGGACUUUUGGCGGGGAAGCGGUACCUGAAGAAUAAGCACCGGCUAACUACGUGCCAGCAGCCGCGGUAAUUC
rnacentral:rRNA from 1 species